rnacentral:rRNA from 1 species
GACGAACGCUGGCGGCGUGCUUAACACAUGCAAGUCGAACGGAAGGCUCUUUUCGGAGGGACUCGAGUGGCGAACGGGUGAGUAACACGUGGGUGAUCUGCCCUGCACUUUGGGAUAAGCCUGGGAAACUGGGUCUAAUACCGGAUAGGACCACGGCCUGCAUGGGUGGUGGUGGAAAGCCUUUGGGUGGUGUGGGAUGGGCCCGCGGCCUAUCAGCUUGUUGGUGGGGUGAUGGCCUACCAAGGCGACGACGGGUAGCCGGCCUGAGAGGGAGUCCGGCCACACUGGGACUGAGACACGGCCCAGACUACUACGGGAGGCAGCAGUGGGGAAUAUUGCACAAUGGGCGAAAGCCUGAUGCAGCGACGCCGCGUGAGGGAUGACGGCCUUCGGGUUGUAAACCUCUUUCAGCAGGGAAGAAGCGAAAGUGACGGUACCUGCAGAAGAAGCACCGGCUAACUACGUGCCAGCAGCCGCAGUAACAC